GCCUCGUUGGCGCAGUAGGCAGCGCGUCAGUCUCAUAAUCUGAAGGUCGUGAGUUCAACCCUCACACGGGCAUGUGCC